AUGAACACGCCAGAGCAUUUGUACCUAGCCCUAUUCAUGCUGGGAAGGGGUGUCCAAGUAUGUAUCUCCGAGUCAUACAUCUCAGCGGAGCUCAAUAUCCUUUCAGAAGAAUCAACGCCUCCCGUGACAUAUGCCUUUUCACCGACACUUGCUGACCCAAACCAGCGCCGCCGGAUGUUCAUCACAUCAGCCAGCCAUGUCCAUGAAUUGGUAAGGAUGCUAUAUCUCAAGGCAACCCUUCCGUCCCAAAACAACAGCAGCUCGGUCCCUACAGCAAAUGACUCCCAGUAAGAGCAUUCAGCCGGUGGCAUCUUGGGCACUUGGAUCCAGCGCCCAGUGGACGGGUCAUAA
rnacentral:rRNA from 1 species